GACGAACGCUGGCGGCGUGCCUAAUACAUGCAAGUUGAGCGCUGAAGGUUGGUACUUGUACCAACUGGAUGAGCAGCGAACGGGUGAGUAACGCGUGGGGAAUCUGCCUUUGAGCGGGGGACAACAUUUGGAAACGAAUGCUAAUACCGCAUAAAAACUUUAAACACAAGUUUUAAGUUUGAAAGAUGCCAUUGCAUCACUCAAAGAUGAUCCCGCGUUGUAUUAGCUAGUUGGUGAGGUAAAGGCUCACCAAGGCGAUGAUACAUAGCCGACCUGAGAGGGAGAGCGGCCACAUUGGGACUGAGACACGGCCCAAACUCCUAAGGGAGGCAGCAGUAGGGAAACUUCGGCAAUGGGCGAAAGUCUGACCGAGCAACGCCGCGUGAGAGAAGAAGGUUUUCGGAUCGGAAAACUCUGUUGGUAGAGAAGAACGGUGGUGAGAGUGGAAAGCUCAUCAAGUGACGGUAACUACCCAGAAAGGGACGGCUAACUACGUG
rnacentral:rRNA from 1 species